rnacentral:rRNA from 1 species
UACAUGGGGUGCAAACGUUGCUCGGAAUCAUUGGGCGUAAAGCGCGCGUAGGCGGUUACUUAAGUCGGAUGUGAAAGCCCUCGGCUUAACCGAGGAAGUGCAUCCGAAACUGAGUAGCUAGAGUACUAAAGAGGGUCGCGGAAUUCCCGGUGUAGAGGUGAAAUUCGUAGAUAUCGGGAGGAACACCGGCGGCGAAGGCGGCGACCUGGGUAGAUACUGACGCUGAGGCGCGAAAGCGUGGGGAGCAAACAGG